rnacentral:rRNA from 1 species
GAACGCUGGCGGCGUGCCUAAUACAUGCAAGUAGAACGCUGAAGAGAGGAGCUUGCUCUUCUUGGAUGAGUUGUGAACGGGUGAGUAACGCGUAGGUAACCUGCCUUGUAGCGGGGGAUAACUAUUGGAAACGAUAGCUAAUACCGCAUAACAAUGGAUGACACAUGUCAUUUAUUUGAAAGGGGCAAUUGCUCCACUACAAGAUGGACCUGCGUUGUAUUAGCUAGUAGGUGAGGUAACGGCUCACCUAGGCGACGAUACAUAGCCGACCUGAGAGGGUGAUCGGCAACACUGGGACUGAGACACGGCCCAGACUCCUACGGGAGGCAGCAGUAGGGAAUCUUCGGCAAUGGGGGCAACCCUGACCGAGCAACGCCGCGUGAGUGAAGAAGGUUUUCGGAUCGUAAAGCUCUGUUGUAAGUCAAGAACGAGUGUGAGAGUGGAAAGUUCACACUGUGACGGUAGCUUACCAGAAAGGGACGGCUAACUACGUGCCAGCAGCCGCGGUAAUACGUAGGUCCCGAGCGUUGUCCGGAUUUAUUGGGCGUAAAGCGAGCGCAGGCGGUUUGAUAAGUCUGAAGUUAAAGGCUGUGGCUCAACCAUAGUUCGCUUUGGAAACUGUCAAACUUGAGUGCAGAAGGGGAGAGUGGAAUUCCAUGUGUAGCGGUGAAAUGCGUAGAUAUAUGGAGGAACAUCGGUGGCGAAAGCGGCUCUCUGGUCUGUAACUGACGCUGAGGCUCGAAAGCGUGGGGAGCGAACAGGAUUAGAUACCCUGGUAGUCCACGCCGUAAACGAUGAGUGCUAGGUGUUGGAU